CACUAACAUCUUAAGCUUUUAGAUGAAGUGGUUAUCUAACAAUCGUAAUUCAAUCACUCCUCAAAAUGAGGCUCGUACGAACAUCGUAAGUCUCACUCGAGGGUAAAACCUCCCUUUAUAUACUGCAAACACGAAAACGGCAUAUUAACAAGUUUCUCAACUUCAACGCCUUUGCACAUUAGACUAUUCAAAACCUCGUUCGGCCCUAAACUAUCAUCACCCGCCAUAAAACCUCGACACACGACAAGAGAAGUAUUACACACCCAAGGCACAGAAACCGUGUAAGCA
rnacentral:lncRNA from 1 species